UCUACGGGAGGCAGCAGUGAGGAAUAUUGGUCAAUGGACGAGAGUCUGAACCAGCCAAGUAGCGUGAAGGAUGACUGCACUAUGGGUUGUAAACCUCUUUUAUAAAGGAAUAAAACGAGGCACGUGUGCCUUUUUGAAUGUACUUUAUGAAUAAGGAUCGGCUAACUCCGUGCCAGCAGCCGCGGUAAUACGGAGGAUGCGAGCGUUAUCCGGAUUUUGUGGGUUUAAAGGGUGCGUAGGCGGACUGUUAAGUCAGCGGUAAAAGCCCGGGGCUCAACCCCGGCGAGCCGUUGAAACUGGCUGUCUUGAGAUGUCGAGAGGUAUGCGGAAUGCGCGGUGUAGCGGUGAAAUGCUUAGAUAUUGCGCAGAACUCCGAUUGCGAAGGCAGCAUACCGGCGGCGAUCUGACGCUGAGGCACGAAAGCGUGGGUAUCGAACAGGAUUAGAUACCCGGGUAGUC
rnacentral:rRNA from 1 species